GAUGAACGCUGGCGGCGUGCCUAAUACAUGCAAGUCGAGCGAACAGACGAGGAGCUUGCUCCUCUGACGUUAGCGGCGGACGGGUGAGUAACACGUGGAUAACCUACCUAUAAGACUGGGAUAACUUCGGGAAACCGGAGCUAAUACCGGAUAACAUGUUGAACCGCAUGGUUCAACAGUGAAAGACGGUCUUGCUGUCACUUAUAGAUGGAUCCGCGCCGCAUUAGUUAGUUGGUAAGGUAACGGCUUACCAAGGCAACGAUGCGUAGCCGACCUGAGAGGGUGAUCGGCCACACUGGAACUGAGACACGGUCCAGACUCCUACGGGAGGCAGCAGUAGGGAAUCUUCCGCAAUGGGCGAAAUCCUGACGGAGCAACGCCGCGUGAGUGAAGAAGGUCUUCGGAUCGUAAAACUCUGUUAUUAGGGAAGAACAAAUGUGUAAGUAACUAUGCACGUCUUGACGGUACCUAAUCAGAAAGCCACGGCUAACUACGUG
rnacentral:rRNA from 1 species